rnacentral:rRNA from 1 species
CCCUUAGAUGUUCUGGGCCGCACGCGCGCUACACUGAUGCAUUCAACGAGUCUAAAACCUGCUCUGAUAGGGGUGGGUAAUCUUUUGAAUGUGCACCGUGAUUGGGAUAGAUGAUUGCAAUUUUUCAUCUUCAACGAGGAAUGCCUAGUAAACGCAAGUCAUCAGCUCGCAUUGAUUACGUCCCUGCCCUUUGUACACACCGCCCGUCGCACCUACCGAUUGAAUGGUUCGGUGAAGAUCUCGGGAUUUUGUUUUGUUUGCAUUUAUUUGUAUCGAGACGAGAGAACUUGAGUAAACCUUACCAUUUAGAGGAAGGUGAAGUCGUAACA